rnacentral:lncRNA from 1 species
UCUUCAACAAAAUCAUUACAAAUUAAAUUAUUAAAUUAACCUAUUGUUCAAAUUUGUAAAAAAAGAAAACAAAAAAUAUUGAACUAAUAACAAGAAAAGAAAAGUACGAGCAAAGAGAAUAUUGUAACAAAAAAAUCAUACACCACAAAAAAAAUGGUACACUUGUAAAAUUGAAAAGAAAAGAAGCAUAUCGUAAAAAAUUGUAUGAAAAGAAGCAGGAUUGUCAAACGAUUAGUGUUACACCAUUUCAGAGUGUGUGGAAUCCUUGUUUUCCCAUGUGAUCAAAAAAUAAGUCUCAAUUGAUUAUUAUAAUUGAUUCAUUCUCUUCUAUUUAAGGUAUGUUUUGAUAAUUUUCCAAUACAAUAA